rnacentral:rRNA from 1 species
CCUACGGGCGGCAGCAGUGGGGAAUAUUGCACAAUGGGGGAAACCCUGAUGCAGCAACGCCGCGUGAGUGAAGAAGUAUUUCGGUAUGUAAAGCUCUAUCAGCAGGGAAGAAAAUGACAGUACCUGACUAAGAAGCCCCGGCUAACUACGUGCCAGCAGCCGCGGUAAUACGUAGGGGGCAAGCGUUAUCCGGAUUUACUGGGUGUAAAGGGAGCGUAGACGGCUGCGCAAGUCAGAAGUGAAAGCACGGGGCUCAACCGCGGGACUGCUUUUGAAACUGUGUAGCUAGAGGGCAGGAGAGGUAAGUGGAAUUCCUAGUGUAGCGGUGAAAUGCGUAGAUAUUAGGAGGAACACCGGUGGCGAAGGCGGCUUACUGGACUGUAACUGACGUUGAGGCUCGAAAGCGUGGGGAGCAAACAGGAUUAGAUACCCCAGUAGUC